GGGAAUAUUGGGCAAUGGAGGAAACUCUGACCCAGCGACGCCGCGUGCGGGAUGAAGGCCUUCGGGUUGUAAACCGCUUUCAGCAGGGAAGAAGCGAAAGUGACGGUACCUGCAGAAGAAGCACCGGCUAACUAUGUGCCAGCAGCCGCGGUAAUACAUAGGGUGCAAGCGUUGUCCGGAAUUAUUGGGCGUAAAGAGCUCGUAGGUGGUUCGUUACGUCGGAUGUGAAAAUCUGGGGCUCAACCCCAGACCUGCAUUCGAUACGGGCGAACUAGAGUGUGGUAGGGGAGACUGGAAUUCCUGGUGUAGCGGUGGAAUGCGCAGAUAUCAGGAGGAACACCAAUGGCGAAGGCAGGUCUCUGGGCCAUUACUGACACUGAGGAGCGAAAGCGUGGGGAGCGAACAGGAUUAGAUACCCUGGUAGUCCACGCCGUAAACGGUGGGCACUAGUUGUGGGAACCUUCCACGGUUUCUGCGACGCAGCUAACGCAUUAAGUGCCCCGCCUGGGGAGUACGAUCGCAAGAUUAAAACUCAAAGGAAUUGACGG
rnacentral:rRNA from 1 species